CAGUCACAGUAAUGUAAUUUUGGAUGAGCCAUUGCAUCUCUUUGGUUUCCUUCCAUGGGUGAGAUUCCAUAUUCUUAUUAAUAUUGCAAAUGAUUUUUGUGCAACUAUAUAUUAUGUUCCUUAGUAAAAGGGGUAGAAGACACCAAAGAAGACACAUAGUUAUGCCGUUAAAUGCUCUCAGAACCAUCCCCUCACUUUCCGGGUAUCCUCUGUUAAACUCAUUAUAGAAUGAGGAAAUUAAGAAAUAGAGAGAUUGAAGAAUGCAUAAGUACAUGAAACAUUCCCAAUGAUUACCUUCACUGCUUCCUUAUUUACCUAGUCAUAAUUCACAAAACACAAAAGAGGAGAACCGUCAAGCUUGGAUCAGCAGAAAGAACUGAGCAGCUUAUAACAGUCUCAGAGGCAACAUGGCCAGCUUAAAAGUGGAACAACAGAACCAAAUGAAACAUAUGAAAACAGAAACAAGUAGAAGCUCUAAUAGCCACACAACUAAAAAUGGUCAUGAUAAUAAAAUCCAGCUAUGGUGACAUAAGCGAAAGUUGUUGUGUGGAAGGUGCAGGAGGACUCCUUCAAAAGAAGUAUGGACAGUUAGUGUACACUUUUCUGGCCUUCCCAUCUCAUUCCUUCCUGCUGCCAGGAACAGUGACAUGAGAACUGGAGUGCUAACAGGCAUUCAGAUCAUGAGGCAACAUUAUAGAUGAAAGCCACACAUUGAGGAUGAUGGAGCAGAAAAAGGGAAAGAAGGAGAUUUUCUGAUGAUCCCAUGGUACCAGCUGACACACCUGGACUGCCUACUCCUGACUCUCUUGUAUUUGAAAGAACAGGUUUUGUUGUGUUUAAUCACUACUAUUUUUGGAUUUUCUGUUGUAUGCAGCUGAAUUUAGUUCUAAUUGGUGUAGACAAGUCUGUCUGUAACUAGAUGCAUGUGGAAAAUAAAACUUUUAUGGGAAAAAUACAGAA